UAUGCUGAAGUCCGCUGGAUUGGGCGCUUAUUUGUGAAUUACUGUUUUACGGGGCCCAGGCCCCUCAGUCUAG
rnacentral:tRNA from 1 species